rnacentral:rRNA from 1 species
UACAGAGGGGGCAAGCGUUAUUCGGAAUUAUUGGGCGUAAAGGGCGCGUAGGCGGCUUGGUAAGUGGGUGGUGAAAUCCCUCGGCUUAACCGAGGAACUGCCGUCCAAACUGCUUCGCUUGAGUCCGGGAGAGGUGAGUGGAAUUCCCAGUGUAGCGGUGAAAUGCGUAGAUAUUGUGAGGAACACCAGUGGCGAAGGCGACUCACUGGACCGGUACUGACGCUGAUGCGCGAAAGCGUGGGGAGCAAACGGG